UUACAUUUGAGUGAGUGGCGAACUGGUGAGUAACACGUGGGAAACCUGCCCAGAAGCGGGGGAUAACACCUGGAAACAGAUGCUAAUACCGCAUAACAACUUGGACCGCAUGGUCCAGUUUGAAAGAUGGCUUCGGCUAUCACUUUUGGAUGGUCCCGCGGCGUAUUAGCUAGAUGGUGGUAACGGCUCACCAUGGCAAUGAUACGUAGCCGACCUGAGAGGGUAAUCGGCCACAUUGGGACUGAGACACGGCCCAAACUCCUACGGGAGGCAGCAGUAGGGAAUCUUCCACAAUGGACGAAAGUCUGAUGGAGCAACGCCGCGUGAGUGAAGAAGGGUUUCGGCUCGUAAAACUCUGUUGUUAAAGA
rnacentral:rRNA from 1 species